rnacentral:rRNA from 1 species
CAGCAGCCACGGGAACACAUAGGGUGCAAGCGUUAAUCGGAAUUACUGGGCGUAAAGCGUGCGCAGGCGGUUUGUUAAGACAGAUGUGAAAUCCCCGGGCUCAACCUGGGAACUGCAUUUGUGACUGGCAAGCUAGAGUCUGGCAGAGGGGGGUGGAAUUCCGCGUGUAGCGGUGAAAUGCGUAGAUAUGCGGAGGAACACCGAUGGCGAAGGCAGCCCCCUGGGCCAACACCGACGCUCAUGCACGAAAGCGUGGGGAGCAAACAGGAUUAGAUACCCGCGUAGUCCCUGUCUCUUAUAC